GUUAGGAAUAUUGGACAAUGGGCGCAAGCCUGAUCCAGCCAUGCCGCGUGAGUGAUGAAGGCCUUCGGGUUGUAAAGCUCUUUAGCCGAUGAUUAUAAUGACUGUAGUCGGAAAAUAAGCCCCGGCUAACUUCGUGCCAGCAGCCGCGGUAAUACGAAGGGGGCGAGCGUUAUUCGGAAUCACUGGGCGUAAAGCGUGCGUAGGCGGCUUUGCAAGUUGGGAGUGAAAGCCAAGGGCUCAACCAUAGAAUUGCUCUCAAAACUGCAAGGCUCGAAUUCGGGAGAGGAUAGCGGAAUUGUCAGUGUAGCAGUGAAAUGCGUAGAUAUUGACAGGAACACCAGUGGCGUAAGCGGCUAUCUGGACCGAUAUUGACGCUGAGGCACGAAAGCGUGGUGAUCAAACAGGAUUAGAAACCCUGGUAGUCC
rnacentral:rRNA from 1 species